rnacentral:lncRNA from 1 species
AAAUAUCUUUAUUUUUAGAGGGAUCUUUAGCUUAAAAAUCAUAAAUGGCUACAACUUUUAAAAAUUAUUGCUUUUACUGAGUAUUUGUGACCUAAACAACUUUCUAUAAGCAGGAUAAAGUAUAUAUGAAUUACAACAGAUAGUGUUCUUGAACUAUACUAAGCUCUUUUCUUUGUAUUUAUCAAACUAAACUUCAUACCAAAUAAAUUUAUAUUCUAAAUAAUAAUAAAUGUGUAACUGAACUUUUUUCUUAAAAAAUAAAGUUAUUUCUAGAAUAUCAAAUUUUAGGAACUAUGCCCAAAUUUGGAAUUAGUAUAUCACUUUAAAAAUAUAACUCUCAGAAAAAAAUCAAUUUGCUCUAGGGAGAACUAAACUUUAAUUAGCACACAAGAUACUGCUUUAUUUGUUUAAAUGAAACUGUAGAAAGUUUUACUUUGUUUAAAAAUACAUAAGAAUAUUUAGGUUGUAGAAACUCUAUUAUGCGAUCGGGUAAAAAAAAUAUAAAGCCUUUUAGAUAUUCUACCAAUUUUGAAAAUACAAUAAAUAACAAAUUUAGUGUUGGCCACAUCUUCAUUCACCCAAAAAAAUUCUAAACUCAAUCCAAGUUUGAAAAGUGAAUAGGAGUAGUUUAAUAGGCAAGUUGAAAAAUAACAAGUUCGAUUAAAAGUUGGUCUCAUCACAUUGUUAAGGGUUGUGGGAUUUCAUUGGUGCCGUAAUUAUUCUAUCAUAAUUCCAUACUGCUAUUAAUUAGAGCUCCCACAUUAAUUCUCAUCAAAUGCACUAGAAAAAUAUUUCAAAAAUUACCACAAAAUAAAUUAUUGGAUUAUAAAUUCAGUAUACUCUAAUAUAUCGUCAAUAAUAGUUGUCAUAGAUCUAUUUUGUCUUUAAAAAAUUUGCAUGGGGUGGUGGAUUAGUGCAAC